UUUAAAUCAAUCACAUUCACAGUAAUAAUCCCUAAUUCCCUUUCUCCACCUCCGAUCGGGAACCCGUCAGUUCUCCUCGUUCCUUCCGAAGAUCACAGGUCCACCUCCAACAAAAGCCGAACUUGGAAGAUUUGGGAGCAGCGAUGGCCACGGGAUCCGGCCUCUUCAAGUUCCUGCGCCCACGCCUUCGACCGCAGUCGGACGACAUCGCCGCCGCCGCCACCUGGGGCGUCGCGGCUAUCACCACCGCCGUUUGGAUCAUUCAGCCUUUUGACUGGCUGAAGAAGCAGCUCUUUGAAAAACCUGAGCCUAAGAACUGAAAUUUGUGGACAGCAGCAUUGAAGCAAUGGAGGAUGUCCAUGUUGAAAUAAAGAUGCUUCUCUAAGUUUUUUUUUAUGAAUUUACUCUGAAUGUUUUUUUUUUGCCGAAAUAAUGUUUGAGAAAUCAGUCAAGCUUAUAUGAUUUUGGUCAUGCUCUUGUUUUAUUGGAUUUUCAAAAGUUUUGAGACAGAUUUUGGUUGAA